CGGUCGACCCUUGCUUGGUUGUGCUGGCGGCGCUGUGUUCGUCCUUGUGGGCGGUCGACCCCUGCUUGGUUGUGGAGGCGGCGUGGUGGUCGUCCUUGUGGGCGGUCGACCCCUGCUUGGUUGUGGAGGCGGCCUGGUGGUCGUCUUUGUGGGCAGUCGACCCCUGCUUUGUUGUGGAGGCGGCGUGGUGGUCGUCCUUGUGGGCGGUCGACCCCUGCUUGGUUGUGGAGGCGGCGUGGUGGUCGUCCUUAUGAGCAGUCGACCCUUGCUUUGCAUUGACUGCGUGGUGGUCAUCCUUGUGGGUGGUUGAACCUUGCUUAGCGUGACCCUGGUGUCCGUGGUGCUCGGCGUGUCCUUGGUUGCCGUGGUGCUCGGCGUGCC